UCCGUAGGUGGAUAAUUAAGUCAGAGGUGAAAGUUUGCAGCUCAACUGUAAGAUUGCCUUUGAUACUGGUUAUCUUGAAUCAUUGUGAAGUGGUUAGAAUAUGUAGUGUAGCGGUGAAAUGCAUAGAUAUUACAUAGAAUACCAAUUGCGAAGGCAGAUCACUAACAAUAUAUUGACACUGAUGGACGAAAGCGUGGGGAGCGAACAGGAUUAGAUACCCUGGUAGUCC
rnacentral:rRNA from 1 species